CCCUUAGAUGUUCUGGGCCGCACGCGCGCUACACUGAUGCAUUCAACGAGUCUAGAACCUGCUCUGAUAGGGGUGGGUAAUCUUUUGAAUGUGCAUCGUGAUUGGGAUAGAUGAUUGCAAUUUUUCAUCUUCAACGAGGAAUGCCUAGUAAACGCAAGUCAUCAGCUUGCAUUGAUUACGUCCCUGCCCUUUGUACACACCGCCCGUCGCUCCUACCGAUUGAAUGAUCCGAUGAAUAUCAUGGAUUGAGGAUGCAAGCAGGUUCGCCUGUCUUCAUCUUCGAGAAGUGAAGUAAAUCUUAUCAUUUAGAGGAAGGAGAAGUCGUAACA
rnacentral:rRNA from 1 species